UAUUUAAAAAUUGUAAAUCCUUUUGUACUACUUCCCUCUACGUUAUUUUAGGUCUCCCCUUUUCCUUCUUACUCCUUCCACCACUAAUUUAUAACAUUUUCGCACUAGAGCAUUUGUUUCUCUAUGCUGGACAUGACCAAACCAUCUUAAUCAAUACUCUCAUUUUAUCCCCAAAUUUUGCUACAUACACUCUCUUGCAGAGAUGAUCACUCUCUUGCAGAGAUGAUCAUUCAUAAUCUUAUCCAUUAGCAAUACACAAAUAAAAAUUAAAAGAAAAAAGAUUAUGUAAUACCCUUCCUAUGCUGGGGUGAAAACUUUCCAUUUUUUCUUGUUU
rnacentral:misc_RNA from 1 species